rnacentral:rRNA from 1 species
AUUGAACGCUGGCGGCAUGCUUUACACAUGCAAGUCGAACGGCAGCACGGGUGCUUGCACCUGGUGGCGAGUGGCGAACGGGUGAGUAAUGUAUCGGAACGUAUCCGGAAAUGGGGGAUAACGUAGCGAAAGUUACGCUAAUACCGCUUAUGCCCUGAGGGGGAAAGGUGGGGAUCGCAAGACCUAUCGUUUUCGGAGCGGCCGAUAUCAGAUUAGCUAGUUGGUGGGGUAAAGGCCCACCAAGGCGACGAUCUGUAGCUGGUCUGAGAGGACGACCAGCCACACUGGGACUGAGACACGGCCCAGACUCCUACGGGAGGCAGCAGUGGGGAAUUUUGGACAAUGGGGGCAACCCUGAUCCAGCCAUGCCGCGUGAGUGAAGAAGGCCCUCGGGUUGUAAAGCUCUUUCGGACAGAAAGAAAUCGCCACUUCUAAUAAAGGUGGUGGAUGACGGUACUGUAAGAAGAAGCACCGGCUAACUACGUGCCAGCCGCCGCGGUAACAC